rnacentral:rRNA from 1 species
GUGGGGAAUAUUGGACAAUGGGCGAAAGUCUGAUCCAGCCAUGCCGCGUGUGUGAAGAAGGUCUUCGGAUUGUAAAGCACUUUAAGUUGGGAGGAAGGGCAGUAAGUUAAUACCUUGCUGUUUUGACGUUACCGACAGAAUAAGCACCGGCUAACUUCGUGCCAGCAGCCGCGGUAAUACGAAGGGUGCAAGCGUUAAUCGGAAUUACUGGGCGUAAAGCGCGCGUAGGUGGUUUUGUAAGUUGGAGGUGAAAUCCCCGGGCUCAACCUGGGAACUGCCUCCAAAACUGCAUGACUAGAGUACGGUAGAGGGUAGUGGAAUUUCCUGUGUAGCGGUGAAAUGCGUAGAUAUAGGAAGGAACACCAGUGGCGAAGGCGACUACCUGGACUGAUACUGACACUGAGGUGCGAAAGCGUGGGGAGCAAACAGGAUUAGAUACCCCUGUAGUCC